UAUGUAUGUGUGUGUGUGUGUGUGUGUGUGUGUGUUGUACACACACACACACACACACACAGUUUUGACAGG